GAUCCACUAUAGAUGCCGCUGUCUCUUUCUUCUCCAGCCCUGAUACCUAUCGGCUCUCUCCAAAACCGCCCAUAACACCACACUACCGUUUCCAGGAUUACUCCGCCGAAACGGGAGUGCCAAGCAGGCGAGCUUUUUUAAUUAAGGGGCCCCAAACGUAGGCCAUCGCCCACACCCUGAGAUUGAGAGUCUCUGGCUCCAUCGACUGAGAUGCCUGGGCUACUGCUUCAGAUCCUUUGAGUGAAACACCCCAAUACGUGAGCCUUGCAACGUCUCCAGCUCGUACAGACUGUUGCCCAUACUCCGGAUCACUCGGCACUUGACGUAUUUUGGGCUGAACUUUGCGUUGAUGUUGUUUUUAAAUUUGCUCAACACGAAAUUCCGCUUAUAUAUUUCCUGACCCGGCUUCAUGAGAGUUUCCUCGGACCUCAUCUCGGACUAUUUCCAUCUUGUCACUCCUCGCCAAGGGGGACAUUUGUGCAUCAUUUAGGGCGCCCAGUCUGCGUGCCAAUUUAUAAUCUCGGCCGCUAUAAACAUGUGCUGCCCAAACAACACAAAGUGUCACAAUCAGCCACAUAUGCCUUCACCUGCACGGUCAUCCGGGGCCAAUAAUAG